rnacentral:rRNA from 1 species
UACGUAGGGACCAAGCGUUGUCCGGAAUUACUGGGCGUAAAGCGUGCGCAGGCGGUCUCUUAAGACAGGUGUGAAAUCCCCGGGCUUAACCUGGGAACUGCGCUUGUAACUGUGAGGCUAGAGUACGGAAGAGGCGAGUGGAAUUCCUGGUGUAGCGGUGGAAUGCGCAGAUAUCAGGAGGAACACCAUAGCGAAGGCAGCUCGCUGGGACGUUACUGACACUGAGGCGCGAAAGCGUGGGGAGCGAACAGG